rnacentral:rRNA from 1 species
GACUCCUACGGRAGGCAGCAGUKGGGAWWAUUGCACAWUGGBCGGAAGCCUGAUGCAGCAWCGCCGCSKGAGGGAUGACGGCCUUCSGGUUGUAAACCUCUUUUAGCAGKGAAGAAGCGAAAGUGACYGGUACCUGCAGAAAAAGCGSCCGGCUAACUACGUGCCAGCAGCCGCGGUAAUACGUAGGGCGCAAGCGUUAUCCGGAAUUAUUGGGCGWAAAGAGCUCGUAGGCGGUUUGUCGCGUCUGCUGUGAAAUCCCGAGGCUCAACCUCGGGCCUGCAGUGGGUACGGGCAGACUAGAGUGCGGUAGGGGAGAUUGGAAUUCCUGGUGUAGCGGUGGAAUGCGCAGAUAUCAGGAGGAACACCGAUGGCGAAGGCAGAUCUCUGGGCCGUAACUGACGCUGAGGAGCGAAAGGGUGGGGAGCAAACWRGCUUAGAUACCCUGGUAGUCCACCCCGUAAACGUUGGGAACUAGUUGUGGGGUCCUUUCCACGGAUUCCGUGACGCAGCUAACGCAUUAAGUUCCCCGCCUGGGGAGUACGGCCGCAAGGCUAAAACUCAAAGGAAUUGACGGGGACCCGCACAAGCGGCGGAGCAUGCGGAUUAAUUCGAUGCAACGCGAAGAACCUUACCAAGGCUUGACAUACACGAGAACGGGCCAGAAAUGGUCAACUCUUUGGGACACUCGUGAACAGGUGGUGCAUGGUUGUCGUCAGCUCGUGUCGUGAGAUGUUGGGUUAAGUCCCGCAACGAGCGCAACCCUCGUUCUAUGUUGCCAGCACGUUAUGKUGGGAACYCAUGGGCAUACUGCCGGGGUYMACUCGRASGAMGSUGGGRAUGACGUCAAWUCAU